UCUCUUUCUAUCUUUCUCCAACAGUCCCAGCACCAGCCAGGGCCAGGGCCCUCACCGCCCCACACGCAGUGUGUGUGUCAGUAGGCGCACAUGUGUGUGUAAAAUAGAGAGAAAAAUGGAGAGGGAAAAGACGGAGAGAGGGAUUCUUUGUGUGUGGUUCAGCCGGAGGGGUGUUUGCAGCGUCCAACACCACUUGAUAAAACUUUGUCAGAGAGACACGGAGACAGCGAGGGAGGGGGGGAAGCGGAAGAAGAAUAAGACGGGACGUCGAAGGUCGCUUUUCUUCCAGCUCCUGCCGUCUUAUUACUCAUUCCACCUCAACUGUUUGAUAAGGAUCCAUCAGAGACGGCACACAGGACGUUUCUGCUCAGUCCCACUACCAAGCACGUAGCUCACAACAUUCCUAAGAUCUCAUGAGCCAGGAUAAAAGGACAAUUUGAACUUUUUCUCUCAUCCACCGUAUCAGACACAACCUGUCUUUUCGCCUUAGAUUUUCUUACCCUCACUACAGCAGCUCCCAUCAGAGGAUAUGGCAGUGCAGUAUUGAUCUAUAAGGUGGAAGAGAGGAAGGCGGGCUCAGGCUUUCAUACCUCUCUCUCUCCCUCUCUAUGUGUGUGUGUGUGUGUGUGUGGAAAUAGCACCUGAAGUCCACUUACUGCUGUGCAGCAGGGAUCCCAUGGCAGCACAAGUGAAUGGCUGCUAAUUGAAUGAGAGAUGAAAAGGACAGUAGUUGUACCUGCUCAGUGCCCCCCUCCUACUGUCUCAUACUACGUGGUUUUUCAUCUGACUUUUUUUCUCCUCCACGCUUUCAAAAGUCCUUGUCCACACAAAGAAACUCGAGACGUUUUAGCAAAAUUGGUGGUGACUAAAGAAAAUUGGCAAAACCUUCUGGCUUCAGCCUUCAAUAGAAAAGAUUUGUUUCAUGCAGAGGCAGAAACAUCCGGACAUUUGUGGACUUGGAAGGACAAUACAGGACAGAUGAACAGUAUUGCCAGCAUAAAAAGAUUCCAACAGGAUGCAUACUUAUCGAUGCAGCCAGUCAGGAAUGCCACCAUGGAGAUGAAAAACAGCGAUUAGACGGUUGGACCUUACUCUAGAAAGAGAACACAUGCUGUCUGUAGCUGAAUCCUCUGAACAAGUUUAGCAUCGUGGCCACAUAUGGAGAAUGCCACCUCUACACCUGCACGAACAAUCAGUUAGACACACAUCAUUAGAGUCUGAUUAUCAGUGUUCUGGUCUGCCGUCUUUGUGGAUGUGGACAGGUAAGUCGGAGCCGCUUCUAAAAGGUAAGUUUAAAAGGUUGAAUCAAUUUAAGAGCUGUCUGAAGUGUAAAAUGGAGCUGCCAAGCAAUAUUUUCCAAAAUUAGUUUCAUUAGAUAUGAAUUACUAUAUUUGAGACCAAUUUUAGGUCGGAGAUUGGAUGAGACCCCAAGGGGUCCUUCUUUUCACUCAGUAAUUUACAUUCAAGUGUUUGACUGGAAAAUUGUUUGACAAGAGUUUGCUGCCGUUGAAUUACUUUCCUCUUUUCUGUGGGACAUUAUGUACACAUACGUAUUUAUACAAUCUUUUCAUAGAGUAAUGAACUGAUUUAUUAUAAAAUGAUUGCAGAAUCCCAGCAGUGUGCUCUGAUAUGAUAUAUAUUUUCAAUAAAGAUGAACAAUUUCUGAAAUGAA